CUUAUCUUUCUGUACCGCUCUUACCCGAAACCAUUAAGUCAAAUGGAGGAAGGUCAAAUCCAUUUUAAAUCUUGCUGUAAAUCUGUUGCCAGACAGCCCCUGCCAGUUGAGAUGUUCUUCAGUCUUCUGUCUCUUGUUUCUUUUCUGCCAUAGGAUUAACUAAAUUCUACUAUGUCGGGCUGCCAUUGGACAAGGUGAACCAUAUGAAAGUUAAAUACAUAAGAAUUCAGUGGAUGGCAUGAGGGAAGCUUCUCAGGCAGCCUGUAAGGGAGUGUGAGGCUGCCAUUAAAUAAGGCGAACGAUGAAGUUUAAAUACAUAAGAUUAUUGUGGGAAGCGAUGUGAAUCAUUGAUUGAUUUUGAAUGAAAGGUGGGAUUUUUCCUUGCACUGUAACUAGUGAGGAUGACCUUGGUGGAGGCUUCUCAGGCAACCCAUAUGUACAUGCAAGGUUGCCUUCAAAUAAGAUUUAAUUUCUUUUUCUUCUUGGAGAAAAACGACGAAGAAUCAAUGAUGGAUGUUGAACUAAAGAUGAAAUUUUUCCUUGUGUUGAAAUUAUCGAGGAUGGCCUGGGGGAAGCUUUCAGGCGAUCAUAUAGAAAUGCAAGGUUGCCAUUAUAUAAGGUGUACCCUGUGUUGUUUAAAUACUUAAGAAUUCAGUGGAAUGUAUGUAAUCUCUGU